rnacentral:rRNA from 1 species
UUAAGCGACUAAGCGUACACGGUGGAUGCCCUGGCAGUCAGAGGCGAUGAAGGACGUGCUAAUCUGCGAUAAGCGUCGGUAAGGUGAUAUGAACCGUUAUAACCGGCGAUUUCCGAAUGGGGAAACCCAGUGUGUUUCGACACACUAUCAUUAACUGAAUCCAUAGGUUAAUGAGGCGAACCGGGGGAACUGAAACAUCUAAGUACCCCGAGGAAAAGAAAUCAACCGAGAUUCCCCCAGUAGCGGCGAGCGAACGGGGAGCAGCCCAGAGCCUGAAUCAGUGUGUGUGUUAGUGGAAGCGUCUGGAAAGGCGCGCGAUACAGGGUGACAGCCCCGUACACAAAAAUGCACAUGCUGUGAGCUCGAUGAGUAGGGCGGGACACGUGGUAUCCUGUCUGAAUAUGGGGGGACCAUCCUCCAAGGCUAAAUACUCCUGACUGACCGAUAGUGAACCAGUACCGUGAGGGAAAGGCGAAAAGAACCCCGGCGAGGGGAGUGAAAAAGAACCUGAAACCGUGUACGUACAAGCAGUGGGAGCACGCUUAGGCGUGUGACUGCGUACCUUUUGUAUAAUGGGUCAGCGACUUAUAUUCUGUAGCAAGGUUAACCGAAUAGGGGAGCCGAAGGGAAACCGAGUCUUAACUGGGCGUUAAGUUGCAGGGUAUAGACCCGAAACCCGGUGAUCUAGCCAUGGGCAGGUUGAAGGUUGGGUAACACUAACUGGAGGACCGAACCGACUAAUGUUGAAAAAUUAGCGGAUGACUUGUGGCUGGGGGUGAAAGGCCAAUCAAACCGGGAGAUAGCUGGUUCUCCCCGAAAGCUAUUUAGGUAGCGCCUCGUGAAUUCAUCUCCGGGGGUAGAGCACUGUUUCGGCAAGGGGGUCAUCCCGACUUACCAACCCGAUGCAAACUGCGAAUACCGGAGAAUGUUAUCACGGGAGACACACGGCGGGUGCUAACGUCCGUCGUGAAGAGGGAAACAACCCAGACCGCCAGCUAAGGUCCCAAAGUCAUGGUUAAGUGGGAAACGAUGUGGGAAGGCCCAGACAGCCAGGAUGUUGGCUUAGAAGCAGCCAUCAUUUAAAGAAAGCGUAAUAGCUCACUGGUCGAGUCGGCCUGCGCGGAAGAUGUAACGGGGCUAAACCAUGCACCGAAGCUGCGGCAGCGACACUAUGUGUUGUUGGGUAGGGGAGCGUUCUGUAAGCCUGUGAAGGUGUGCUGUGAGGCAUGCUGGAGGUAUCAGAAGUGCGAAUGCUGACAUAAGUAACGAUAAAGCGGGUGAAAAGCCCGCUCGCCGGAAGACCAAGGGUUCCUGUCCAACGUUAAUCGGGGCAGGGUGAGUCGACCCCUAAGGCGAGGCCGAAAGGCGUAGUCGAUGGGAAACAGGUUAAUAUUCCUGUACUUGGUGUUACUGCGAAGGGGGGACGGAGAAGGCUAUGUUGGCCGGGCGACGGUUGUCCCGGUUUAAGCGUGUAGGCUGGUUUUCCAGGCAAAUCCGGAAAAUCAAGGCUGAGGCGUGAUGACGAGGCACUACGGUGCUGAAGCAACAAAUGCCCUGCUUCCAGGAAAAGCCUCUAAGCAUCAGGUAACAUCAAAUCGUACCCCAAACCGACACAGGUGGUCAGGUAGAGAAUACCAAGGCGCUUGAGAGAACUCGGGUGAAGGAACUAGGCAAAAUGGUGCCGUAACUUCGGGAGAAGGCACGCUGAUAUGUAGGUGAGGUCCCUCGCGGAUGGAGCUGAAAUCAGUCGAAGAUACCAGCUGGCUGCAACUGUUUAUUAAAAACACAGCACUGUGCAAACACGAAAGUGGACGUAUACGGUGUGACGCCUGCCCGGUGCCGGAAGGUUAAUUGAUGGGGUUAGCGCAAGCGAAGCUCUUGAUCGAAGCCCCGGUAAACGGCGGCCGUAACUAUAACGGUCCUAAGGUAGCGAAAUUCCUUGUCGGGUAAGUUCCGACCUGCACGAAUGGCGUAAUGAUGGCCAGGCUGUCUCCACCCGAGACUCAGUGAAAUUGAACUCGCUGUGAAGAUGCAGUGUACCCGCGGCAAGACGGAAAGACCCCGUGAACCUUUACUAUAGCUUGACACUGAACAUUGAGCCUUGAUGUGUAGGAUAGGUGGGAGGCUUAGAAGUGUGGACGCCAGUCUGCAUGGAGCCGACCUUGAAAUACCACCCUUUAAUGUUUGAUGUUCUAACGUUGACCCGUAAUCCGGGUUGCGGACAGUGUCUGGUGGGUAGUUUGACUGGGGCGGUCUCCUCUUAAAGAGUAACGGAGGAGCACGAAGGUUGGCUAAUCCUGGUCGGACAUCAGGAGGUUAGUGCAAUGGCAUAAGCCAGCUUGACUGCGAGCGUGACGGCGCGAGCAGGUGCGAAAGCAGGUCAUAGUGAUCCGGUGGUUCUGAAUGGAAGGGCCAUCGCUCAACGGAUAAAAGGUACUCCGGGGAUAACAGGCUGAUACCGCCCAAGAGUUCAUAUCGACGGCGGUGUUUGGCACCUCGAUGUCGGCUCAUCACAUCCUGGGGCUGAAGUAGGUCCCAAGGGUAUGGCUGUUCGCCAUUUAAAGUGGUACGCGAGCUGGGUUUAGAACGUCGUGAGACAGUUCGGUCCCUAUCUGCCGUGGGCGCUGGAGAACUGAGGGGGGCUGCUCCUAGUACGAGAGGACCGGAGUGGACGCAUCACUGGUGUUCGGGUUGUCAUGCCAAUGGCACUGCCCGGUAGCUAAAUGCGGAAGAGAUAAGUGCUGAAAGCAUCUAAGCACGAAACUUGCCCCGAGAUGAGUUCUCCCUGACUCCUUGAGAGUCCUGAAGGAACGUUGAAGACGACGACGUUGAUAGGCCGGGUGUGUAAGCGCAGCGAUGCGUUGAGCUAACCGGUACUAAUGAACCGUGAGGCUUAACCUU